rnacentral:rRNA from 1 species
AACGCGAAAACCUUAACCUACCCUUCGACAUGUCCGGAAUCCGAAGAGAUUUGGGAGUGCUCGCAAGAGAACCGGAACACAGGUGCUGCAUGGCUGUCGUCAGCUCGUGUCGUGAGAUGUUGGGUUAAGUCCCGCAACGAGCGCAACCCUUGUCAUUAGUUGCCAUCAUUUGGUUGGGCACUCUAAUGAGACUGCCGGUGACAAACCGGAGGAAGGUGGGGAUGACGUCAAGUCCUCAUGGCCCUUAUGGGUAGGGCUUCACACGUCAUACAAUGGUCGGUACAGAGGGUUGCCAACCCGCGAGGGGGAGCUAAUCCCACAAAGCCGAUCGUAGUCCGGAUCGCAGUCUGCAACUCGACUGCGUGAAGUCGGAAUCGCUAGUAAUCGUGGAUCAGCAUGUCACGGUGAAUACGUUCCCGGGUCUU